rnacentral:rRNA from 1 species
UACGAGAGGCCCAAACGUUAUUCGGAUUUACUGGGCUUAAAGAGUUCGUAGGCGGCGCAGAAAGUAGGGUGUGAAAGCCCUCGGCUCAACCGAGGAAUUGCGCUCUAAAACUACUGUGCUCGAGGAAUCUAGAGGUGAGCGGAACUGAUGGUGGAGCGGUGAAAUGCGUUGAUAUCAUCAGGAACACCGGAGGCGAAGGCGGCUCACUGGGGAUUUUCUGACGCUGAGGAACGAAAGCCAGGGGAGCGAACCGGGG